rnacentral:rRNA from 1 species
AGAGUUUGAUCCUGGCUCAGAACGAACGCUGGCGGCGUGGAUAAGACAUGCAAGUCGAACGAGAGAAUUGCUAGCUUGCUAAUAAUUCUCUAGUGGCGCACGGGUAAGUAACACGUGAGUAACCUGCCCCCGAGAGCGGGAUAGCCCUGGGAAACUGGGAUUAAUACUGCAUAGUAUCGAAAGAUUAAAGCAGCAAUGCGCUUGGGGAUGGGCUCGCGGCCUAUUAGUUAGUUGGUGAGGUAACGGCUCACCAAGGCGAUGACGGGUAGCCGGUCUGAGAGGAUGUCCGGCCACACUGGAACUGAGACACGGUCCAGACACCUACGGGUGGCAGCAGUCGAGAAUCAUUCACAAUGGGGGAAACCCUGAUGGUGCGACGCCGCGUGGGGGAAUGAAGGUCUUCGGAUUGUAAACCCCUGUCAUGUGGGAGCAAAUUAAAAAGAUAGUACCACAAGAGGAAGAGACGGCUAACUCUGUGCCAGCAGCCGCGGUAAUACAGAGGUCUCAAGCGUUGUUCGGAAUCACUGGGCGUAAAGCGUGCGUAGGCUGUUUCGUAAGUCGUGUGUGAAAGGCGCGGGCUCAACCCGCGGACGGCACAUGAUACUGCGAGACUAGAGAAAUGGAGGGGGAACCGGAAUUCUCGGUGUAGCAGUGAAAUGCGUAGAUAUCGAGAGGAACACUCGUGGCGAAGGCGGGUUCCUGGACAUUAACUGACGCUGAGGCACGAAGGCCAGGGGAGCGAAAGGGAUUAGAUACCCCUGUAGUCCUGGCAGUAAACGGUGCACGCUUGGUGUGCGGGGAAUCGACCCCCUGCGUGCCGGAGCUAACGCGUUAAGCGUGCCGCCUGGGGAGUACGGUCGCAAGAUUAAAACUCAAAGAAAUUGACGGGGACCCGCACAAGCGGUGGAGUAUGUGGCUUAAUUCGAUGCAACGCGAAGAACCUUACCUGGGCUUGACAUGUAAUGAACAACAUGUGAAAGCAUGCGACUCUUCGGAGGCGUUACACAGGUGCUGCAUGGCCGUCGUCAGCUCGUGUCGUGAGAUGUUUGGUUAAGUCCAGCAACGAGCGCAACCCCUGUUGCCAGUUACCAGCACGUGAAGGUGGGGACUCUGGCGAGACUGCCCAGAUCAACUGGGAGGAAGGUGGGGACGACGUCAGGUCAGUAUGGCCCUUAUGCCCAGGGCUGCACACGUACUACAAUGCCCAGUACAGAGGGGGCCGAAGCCGCGAGGCGGAGGAAAUCCUAAAAACUGGGCCCAGUUCGGACUGUAGGCUGCAACCCGCCUACACGAAGCCGGAAUCGCUAGUAAUGGCGCAUCAGCUACGGCGCCGUGAAUACGUUCCCGGGUCUUGCACACACCGCCCGUCA